rnacentral:rRNA from 1 species
AGCGAACGCUGGCGGCAGGCCUAACACAUGCAAGUCGAACGAACUCUUCGGAGUUAGUGGCGGACGGGUGGGUAACACGUGGGAACGUGCCUUUAGGUUCGGAAUAACUCAGGGAAACUUGUGCUAAUACCGAAUGUGCCCUUCGGGGGAAAGAUUUAUCGCCUUUAGAGCGGCCCGCGUCUGAUUAGCUAGUUGGUGAGGUAAAGGCUCACCAAGGCGCCGAUCAGUAGCUGGUCUGAGAGGAUGAUCAGCCACAUUGGGACUGAGACACGGCCCAAACUCCUACGGGAGGCAGCAGUGGGGAAUCUUGCGCAAUGGGCGAAAGCCUGACGCAGCCAUGCCGCGUGAAUGAUGAAGGUCUUAGGAUUGUAAAAUUCUUUCACCGGGGACGAUAAUGACGGUACCCGGAGAAGAAGCCCCGGCUAACUUCGUG